GUGGUUGUGGCUCAGGGGAAGAGUACUUGCCUAGCAUGUGUGAGGCACUGGGUUCAAUUCCCAGCACCACA
rnacentral:tRNA from 1 species